UUGCUUUGGCAGUACUUGUGCUAAAAUUGGAAUGCUGCGGAGAAUAUUAACACGGCUCCUGUGUAAAGAUGAUAUGCACAUUUGUGAAGCAUUCCAUAUGCAA